GUAGGUUUUUCAGAUAACUGCUCUGCCGUCCCGGCCACCGCCUCCACGGCUCCGCGCCCCUCCGCCGCCUGGUCCACCCACCCCCGCACGCACACCACCAACGCCGCCCGCUGCCCACCAGCGCUUCGCCCCGCCAAAGCCCGCACAACCUCGCCCCACCGCUUCCGCCCAUCCACGCCUGGCCCAGAUCGCGUACCGCACCGCGCGCUCCGUCCGUCGCCCGCACCAGAUCGUCACCAUCUCGCGCGGACGGCCGGUCCGGGGACCCGGUAGCGGAUUCGAAGGUUGACCCGCUCUCUCCCCCUUGCACCACGCGACAUGGCGGCUCUCGAGCCCGAGACUCCCGCAGCUACCACCGCUAAUCGCGCAUCUGGCAGCGCACCGCGUGGCGUCAUCCUUGGGUGAAUGCUAGCACUCGAGCAGUUCGCAUGCCGACGAAGAGGCCGCCUGGAGCGAGCCCACUAAGGGCUCUGGUGGAGGUCGACGGAUUUGCUCCCAUCCUAACCACGGACUGGUUGGAUUUAAUUUGGGUUCCUAUCAAUGUCUUCAUCGUUCCCAGAUAGCAUGCACGUGUGUGGUUUGAUUGCUGAACUGAACGUAGCAGCAUCAGCAAAUGGGAGAGGGAGCAGUUCAUGUGCGGCGCUACUGUGAGCGGACAAGAGUGCACCAUUAACCAUCAGCUUUAACCUACACUGUUCUAGGAAGAACGGUGGCUGCUGUUGAGGAGGCAACGCAGAGGAGGUGGAGUAGGCCGACCCCUUCUCCUCAAUCGAGGAUGCGAUGGUGCCCUCCCGGGAUCAGCAGAAUGUGUGAUGCACCCCAGUCCCCAGCCCCGCGCGCCCAAACCUCUCGGGAUCGGCAGGGAUAGAGGCAACAACCAGAACGCCACAACCUCGAUCUUCGCGAUGGCGGCAGCGACGACCAACGAUCCAUCUUGGCACAGCGAUUGUCGACUCACCUCGGCUUAUCAAGGUUUGGCACUUUGGCCUUACAGAGACCCUCCGGCAACCCGCGACACAAUUUUGGCAUGACGUCGGCUCCAAUUAUGGCAAAGAAUUGACGCAUAAACCCAAACCCUCCCUCCCCUGUGGUGAAUCGUCUCAGCAUUGUCCUUCGAUGCAAACGCAUCAUGACAUUGACACACCGUGAGCCAGGGUUUUUGUGGACCCGCGGACCAGAGCAAAUGUGGAUUCGGAGGGAGACGUGGGUGGCUAGAUGGAAGCACGACAAUAAGGCUGCUAUGGUUUGAUCCGACAAGUCAGAUAGAAAUUAUACGGAAACAAUGUUGUUGUGAUUAUCUCUAGCCUAAGAUUGCAUUAACACAUGGGUUACCCAAAGUUAUGGUAAUGAAAAUAUAUGGGUUACGCUAA